GAUGAACGCUGGCGGCGUGCCUAAUACAUGCAAGUCGAGCGAACGGACGAGAAGCUUGCUUCUCUGAUGUUAGCGGCGGACGGGUGAGUAACACGUGGAUAACCUACCUAUAAGACUGGGAUAACUUCGGGAAACCGGAGCUAAUACCGGAUAAUAUUUUGAACCGCAUGGUUCAAAAGUGAAAGACGGUCUUGCUGUCACUUAUAGAUGGAUCCGCGCUGCAUUAGCUAGUUGGUAAGGUAACGGCUUACCAAGGCAACGAUGCAUAGCCGACCUGAGAGGGUGAUCGGCCACACUGGAACUGAGACACGGUCCAGACUCCUACGGGAGGCAGCAGUAGGGAAUCUUCCGCAAUGGGCGAAAGCCUGACGGAGCAACGCCGCGUGAGUGAUGAAGGUCUUCGGAUCGUAAAACUCUGUUAUUAGGGAAGAACAUAUGUGUAAGUAACUGUGCACAUCUUGACGGUACCUAAUCAGAAAGCCACGGCUAACUACGUGCCAGCAGCCGCGGUAAUACGUAGGUGGCAAGCGUUAUCCGGAAUUAUUGGGCGUAAAGCGCGCGUAGGCGGUUUUUUAAGUCUGAUGUGAAAGCCCACGGCUCAACCGUGGAGGGUCAUUGGAAACUGGAAAACUUGAGUGCAGAAGAGGAAAGUGGAAUUCCAUGUGUAGCGGUGAAAUGCGCAGAGAUAUGGAGGAACACCAGUGGCGAAGGCGACUUUCUGGUCUGUAACUGACGCUGAUGUGCGAAAGCGUGGGGAUCAAACAGGAUUAGAUACCCUGGUAGUCCACGCCGUAAACGAUGAGUGCUAAGUGUUAGGGGGUUUCCGCCCCUUAGUGCUGCAGCUAACGCAUUAAGCACUCCGCCUGGGGAGUACGACCGCAAGGUUGAAACUCAAAGGAAUUGACGGGGACCCGCACAAGCGGUGGAGCAUGUGGUUUAAUUCGAAGCAACGCGAAGAACCUUACCAAAUCUUGACAUCCUUUGACAACUCUAGAGAUAGAGCCUUCCCCUUCGGGGGACAAAGUGACAGGUGGUGCAUGGUUGUCGUCAGCUCGUGUCGUGAGAUGCUGGGUUAAGUCCCGCAACGAGCGCAACCCUUAAGCUUAGUUGCCAUCAUUAAGUUGGGCACUCUAAGUUGACUGCCGGUGACAAACCGGAGGAAGGUGGGGAUGACGUCAAAUCAUCAUGCCCCUUAUGAUUUGGGCUACACACGUGCUACAAUGGACAAUACAAAGGGCAGCGAAACCGCGAGGUCAAGCAAAUCCCAUAAAGUUGUUCUCAGUUCGGAUUGUAGUCUGCAACUCGACUACAUGAAGCUGGAAUCGCUAGUAAUCGUAGAUCAGCAUGCUACGGUGAAUACGUUCCCGGGUC
rnacentral:rRNA from 1 species